AUUGAACGCUGGCGGCAGGCCUAACACAUGCAAGUCGAGCGAGCGGCGGACGGGUGAGUAAUAGCUGGGAAACUGCCUGAUGGAGGGGGAUAACUACUAGAGACGGUAGCUAAUACCGCAUACCAUCAGAUGUGCCCAGAGGGGAUUAGCUAGUAGGUGGGGUAAUGGCUAACCAAGGCGACGAUCCCUAGCUGGUCUGAGAGGAUGACCAACCACACGUGAACUGAGACACGGUCCAGACUCCUACGGGAGGCAGCAGUGGGGAAUAUGGGACAAUGGGCGCAAGCCUGAUGCAGCCAUGCCGCGUGUGUGAAGAAGGCCUUCGGGUUGUAAAGCACUUUCAGCGGGGAGGCGUUACCAGCAGAAGAAGCACCGGCUAACUCCGUGCCAGCAGCCGCGGUAAUAC
rnacentral:rRNA from 1 species